rnacentral:rRNA from 1 species
AUUGAACGCUGGCGGCAUGCCUUACACAUGCAAGUCGAACGGUAACAGGUCUUCGGAUGCUGACGAGUGGCGAACGGGUGAGUAAUACAUCGGAACGUGCCUAGUAGUGGGGGAUAACUACUCGAAAGAGUGGCUAAUACCGCCUGAGAUCUACGGAUGAAAGCAGGGGAUCGCAAGACCUUGUGCUACGAGAGCGGCCGAUGGCAGGUUAGGUAGUUGGUGGGAUAAAAGCUUACCAAGCCGACGAUCUGUAGCUGGUCUGAGAGGACGAUCAGCCACACUGGGACUGAGACACGGCCCAGACUCCUACGGGAGGCAGCAGUGGGGAAUUUUGGACAAUGGGCGCAAGCCUGAUCCAGCAAUGCCGCGUGCAGGAUGAAGGCCUUCGGGUUGUAAACUGCUUUUGUACGGAACGAAAAGCCCUGGGUUAAUACCCUGGGGUCAUGACGGUACCGUAAGAAUAAGCACCGGCUAACUACGUGCCAGCCGCCGCAGUAA